rnacentral:rRNA from 1 species
AUUGAACGCUGGCGGCAGGCCUAACACAUGCAAGUCGAACGAGUGGCGGACGGGUGAGUAAUGUCUGGGAAACUGCCUGAUGGAGGGGGAUAACUACUGGAAACGGUAGCUAAUACCGCAUACCAUCGGAUGUGCCCAGAUGGGAUUAGCUAGUAGGUGGGGUAAAGGCUCACCUAGGCGACGAUCCCUAGCUUGUCUGAGAGGAUGACCAGCCCAACUGGGACUGGGACACGGUCCAGAAUCCUACGGGAGGCAGCAGUGGGGAAUAUUGCAAAAUGGGCGGAAGCCUGGUGGAGCCAUGCCGCGUGUAUGAAGAAGGCCUUCGGGUUGUAAAGUACUUUCAGCGGGGAGGCGGUACCCGCAGAAGAAGCCCCGGCUAACUCCGUGCCAGCAGCCGCGGUAAUUCC